GAUGAACGCUGGCGGCGUGCCUAAUACAUGCAAGUCGAGCGAACGGACGAGAAGCUUGCUUCUCUGAUGUUAGCGGCGGACGGGUGUGUAACACGUGGAUAACCUACCUAUAAGACUGGGAUAACUUCGGGAAACCGGAGCUAAUACCGGAUAAUAUUUUGAACCGCAUGGUUCAAAAGUAAAAGACGGUCUUGCUGUCACUUAUAGAUGGAUCCGCGCUGCAUUAGCUAGUUGGUAAGGUAACGGCUUACCAAGGCAACGAUGCAUAGCCGACCUGAGAGGGUGAUCGGCCACACUGGAACUGAGACACGGUCCAGACUCCUACGGGAGGCAGCAGUAGGGAAUCUUCCGCAAUGGGCGAAAGCCUGACGGAGCAACGCCGCGUGAGUGAUGAAGGUCUUCGGAUCGUAAAACUCUGUUAUUAGGGAAGAAUAUAUGUGUAAGUAACUGUGCACAUCUUGACGGUACCUAAUCAGAAAGCCACGGCUAACUACGUGCCAGCAGCCGCGGUAAUACGUAGGUGGCAAGCGUUAUCCGGAAUUAUUGGGCGUAAAGCGCGCGUAGGCGGGUUUUAAGUCUGAUGUGAAAACCCCACGGCUCAACCGUGGAGGGUCAUUGGAAACUGGAAAACUUGAGUGCAGAAGAGGAAAGUGGAAUUCCAUGUGUAGCGGUGAAAUGCGCAGAGAUAUGGAGGAACACCAGUGGCGAAGGCGACUUUCUGGUCUGUAACUGACGCUGAUGUGCGAAAGCGUGGGGAUCAAACAGGAUUAGAUACCCUGGUAGUCCACGCCGUAAACGAUGAGUGCUAAGUGUUAGGGGGUUUCCGCCCCUUAGUGCUGCAGCUAACGCAUUAAGCACUCCGCCUGGGGAGUACGACCGCAAGGUUGAAACUCAAAGGAAUUGACGGGGACCCGCACAAGCGGUGGAGCAUGUGGUUUAAUUCGAAGCAACGCGAAGAACCUUACCAAAUCUUGACAUCCUUUGACAACUCUAGAGAUAGAGCCUUCCCCUUCGGGGGACAAAGUGACAGGUGGUGCAUGGUUGUCGUCAGCUCGUGUCGUGAGAUGUUGGGUUAAGUCCCGCAACGAGCGCAACCCUUAAGCUUAGUUGCCAUCAUUAAGUUGGGCACUCUAAGUUGACUGCCGGUGACAAACCGGAGGAAGGUGGGGAUGACGUCAAAUCAUCAUGCCCCUUAUGAUUUGGGCUACACACGUGCUACAAUGGACAAUACAAAGGGCAGCGAAACCGCGAGGUCAAGCAAAUCCCAUAAAGUUGUUCUCAGUUCGGAUUGUAGUCUGCAACUCGACUACAUGAAGCUGGAAUCGCUAGUAAUCGUAGAUCAGCAUGCUACGGUGAAUACGUUCCCGGGUCU
rnacentral:rRNA from 1 species